CCUUUGCAUUUAAGUAGAAUGGGGAUGCGGUAUGCAUUUUGAUACUGGACAAAGUGGAAGGUCUGUAAAAGGAGCUUUUGUGGAGUUUGGGGACAUUCUUCUUUGAUGGACAAUCUAUGAUUAAUGGAGGGAAGUUAAAGGCAAUAACAGGUCUGUGAUGCCCUUAGAUGUUCUGGGCCGCACGCGCGCUACAAUGGUAAAGUCAGAGAGUAAAGACCUUUUUCGAAAGAAAUGGGGAAGCUUGUAAAAUUUAUUGUGAUGGGGAUUGAGGAUUGCAAUUAUUGGUCAUGAACGAGGAAUUCCUAGUAAGCAUUGGUCAUCAGGCAAUGUUGAUUAAGUCCCUGCCCUUUGUACACACCGCCCGUCGAUACUACCGAUUGAAUGGUUUAGUGAAAUCUCUGGAGAAACACGAUAGUGGAACAAAGGGGAUUAAACUUGAUGAUUUAGAGGAAGUAAAAGUCG
rnacentral:rRNA from 1 species